GACGAACGCUGGCGGCGUGCUUAACACAUGCAAGUCGAACGGAAAGGCCCUGCUUUUGUGGGGUGCUCGAGUGGCGAACGGGUGAGUAACACGUGAGUAACCUGCCCUUGACUUUGGGAUAACUUCAGGAAACUGGGGCUAAUACCGGAUAGGAGCUCCUGCUGCAUGGUGGGGGUUGGAAAGUUUCGGCGGUUGGGGAUGGACUCGCGGCUUAUCAGCUUGUUGGUGGGGUAGUGGCUUACCAAGGCUUUGACGGGUAGCCGGCCUGAGAGGGUGACCGGCCACAUUGGGACUGCGAGACGGCCCAGACUGCUACGGGAGGCAGCAGUGGGGAAUAUUGCACAAUGGGCGGAAGCCUGAUGCAGCAACGCCGCGUGCGGGAUGACGGCCUUCGGGUUGUAAACCGCUUUCGCCUGUGACGAAGCGUGAGUGACGGUAAUGGGUAAAGAAGCACCGGCUAACUACGUG
rnacentral:rRNA from 1 species